rnacentral:rRNA from 1 species
AAUUGUUCUUUAAAUGGGGACUUGUAUGAAUGGCACCACGAAGGUUGUACUGUCUCCUUUUUUUAAUCAGUGAAACUAAUCUCCCCGUGAAGAAGCGGGAAUAAAAAUAUAAGACGAGAAGACCCUAUGGAGCUUCAAACUAAAUAACAAAUGUUAUACCCCCUUUAAAUUUUUCAGAAUAAAAACCUUUAUUUUUAUAUUAUGAUUAAUAGUUUUAGGUUGGGGUGACCGCGGAGUACAAUCCAACCUCCGCACUGAAAGAAUCCACUUCUGAACUAAGAGCUACAACUCUAAGUACCAAUAAAUUGACACCUUUUGACCCAAUAUUUUGACCAACGAACCAAGUUACCCUAGGGAUAACAGCGCAAUCCACUUCAAGAGACCCUAUCAAAAAGUGGGCUUACGACCUCGAUGUUGGAUCAGGG